UCUUUGCUUUGGCUUCCCUUGAGUCAUAUCAAUCUACACCUCAUCAAGAAUAUGAAGUUUGGAAGAACAAAGAAGCAAUUGAGCAUCCUAAACUCAACGUAGGGCAAGUAACAUGGACAUUGAUACACCAAGUUCCUUCUUGUUUUUCCUUGAAAGUUGGCUUGAUGAAUGUAUUCUGCAGGACUGCUGCAGUUUACUGGGGGUCCACUCCAGACCUUAGUUGCUUCAGUUUUUCCCUGUACCUGGAGGUAUCGUCAGUGAAGCCUGCAAAACAGCAAAGAUGGCAGCCUGCUCCUUCCUCUGGAAGCUCCAUCCCAGGGAUGCACUGACCUGUUGCCAGAAGGAACAUGCCUGUAGGAGGUGGCUGGAGACCCCUGCUGGGAGGUCCCACCCACUCGGGAGGAAUGGGAUCAGGGACCCACCCCAAGAAGCCCUCUGGCUGCCCUUUGGUAGAGUAGGUGCCAGGAGACCCUUCCUUGCCUGGACCAUUUGUAUUUUCCAAAGUUGGCAGGCUGGAAUGGCUGAGUUUACCAAACUGCAGAGAUGACAGCUGCUCUUCCCCUGUGAGCUUCAUUCCAGGGAGAGAUCAGAACUUUGUCUGUAGAACCCUUGCUUGUGUGGCUGAAGCCCCUGCAGGGAGGACUUGCCCAGUGAAGAGGAAUAGAUUGAGGUACCGCUUAAAGAAGCAGUCUGGCCAUGAUCUGGCAAGGCAGCUGUGCUGUGCUGCAGGGAACCUCUCCUUGCUCGAACUUCUUGUAUUCUUCAAAGCUAGCAGGCUGAAACCAAUAAAUUUAAAUUUAAAUAGGUAAAAAUAAGUAAAUAAAGAUAAAGAAAAAUAAAUUGACUGAUUUAUUCUGCCUUCAGGAGCUCUUAGAUGAUGUAGGAAAACAAAUAAUACUGUACAAUCAAAGUCGAAAUUCCUUAAGCAGAGGGUCUUAUGAGAACACAAAGGGAAGGCAACUGGAGCUUUACAGAUGACUUCCUAGACUAGAGAUACCUGAUGUGGGUCUUUAGGGUUAAGUCAUUAAUAGCAAGGCCAAGUAGAGGAAGAGCAUAUCCUACAGAGAAAAAAAGAAUAAGCAAAGGCUGGCUGUUGAGAGAAUUGCAAGUGCUUAGUAUGACUAUAGCGGUAGUCUCAACAGGAGCAGGACAUCCUUAGGGGAUGUUUUGAAAAAUUUUUGUGGAAUUUUCUUGGUCCCAGUAAUUAGUAAGCACUAUUAGCCUUAAAAUGAUAAAGGGCCACUGAGCUAGAUGUUCUGCAAUGGGCAAGACAAUUGCACACAAUGAAAAAUUGUCCCAAGUUCAAGUUUGGACAAGUUAGGGAUGUCCCUCCAGGCAUUUUUGUCAAUGAAAAACCUCUUUGUAACUGUCUUGGCAUAGAGCCUAACUCCAUAUAUACAUAUAACACAAAAUAUUUUUGCACAGUUUUAAUAUACACUAAAUUUUCCAGGGACACAAUUACAUAAAUUAAGGAAAGAUCAUGCUUUGCUGUGUUUGGAACUUAUCAAGAGUCAUUCACCAUUCUAGAAAAUAGCAUCAAAGAUGCAAUAUAGCUCUUGGUGUCUGAGUUGCCAGUUCAGCCAUCUGUGUCAAUCUGUAUUUGUAGAUAUUGCAGUCAAGGUGAUAUUAUUUUUAAGCAAAAGUGUCUGACAACUUUAUUAAGUUCCCCAAUGUAGCUGUGCCAUAGCAUUUUAGAUUAUUUUAAAUUGUAUAUUACUUUCCUUUUAUUUUUCCUCUAAUGAUAGAUACUUAGGGCAUUUUUUUUAAAAACCCAAUGAGAAGACAGGUUAUUUUAUCUAUGAGUUUCAUUUCAGGAUAGUAAAAGUGUAUUACAAAAUGCUGGUUGUAACAACGGGGACAUUAGGUUGCAAAGGACAGAAUGGGCUGGUAUGUCAGUAGCAUCUCUUUCCCCAAAGACCUCAGUUGUGACAUGUGAAACUCUAAUUGCUAUGUGAUGUUUCCAGUUGUAAGGGCCUGAUUAUGGUUUAAUGCUUGCUGGAAAAAUAAAUGAGCAAAAUCAAGUUAGGAGACCACUUAUUUUUCCCUGCAUGAAACAUUUUAAUGUGACUUUACACUUAUAUUUCCCUGGCUAUUUUGGCAACAUAAAAGGCCCAGUCUAUAUCAAGGCCCAAGUGAA
rnacentral:lncRNA from 1 species